rnacentral:snRNA from 1 species
UUCGACUUCCCCUGGGGGU